rnacentral:rRNA from 1 species
GGGACAACAUCUCGAAAGGGAUGCUAAUACCGCAUACGUCCUACGGGAGAAAGCAGGGGACCUUCGGGCCUUGCGCUAAUAGAUGAGCCUAAGUCGGAUUAGCUAGUUGGUGGGGUAAAGGCCUACCAAGGCGACGAUCUGUAGCGGGUCUGAGAGGAUGAUCCGCCACACUGGGACUGAGACACGGCCCAG